UGUCCUUAUUUGCCAGCACAUAAUGGUGGGAACUCUAAGGAGACUGCCGGUGACAAACCGGAGGAAGGUGGGGACGACGUCAAGUCAUCAUGGCCCUUAUGACCAGGGCUACACACGUGCUACAAUGGAGCGUACAGAGGGUUGCUAAGCCGCGAGGUGGAGCCAAUCCCAGAAAACGUUUCGUAGUCCGGAUCGAAGUCUGCAACUCGACUUCGUGAAGUCGGAAUCGCUAGUAAUCGCGAAUCAGCAUGUCGCGGUGAAUACAUUC
rnacentral:rRNA from 1 species